rnacentral:rRNA from 1 species
UUGAACGCUGGCGGCACGCUUUACACAUGCCAGUCGAGCGGCAGCGCGGGGGCAACCCUGGCGGCGAGCGGCGAACGGGUGAGUAAUGCAUCGGAACGUAUCCUCGAGUGGGGGAUAACCCAGCGAAAGUUGGGCUAAUACCGCAUGAGCUCUGAGGAGGAAAGCGGGGGACCUGCGAGGGCCUCGCGCUGGAGGAGCGGCCGAUGUCCGAUUAGCUAGUUGGUGGGGUAAAGGCUUACCAAGGCGACGAUCGGUAGCUGGUCUGAGAGGAUGAUCAGCCACACUGGGACUGAGACACGGCCCAGACUCCUACGGGAGGCAGCAGUGGGGAAUUUUGGACAAUGGGGGCAACCCUGAUCCAGCCAUGCCGCGUGAGUGAAGAAGGCCUUCGGGUUGUAAAGCUCUUUCGGACGGAACGAAAUGGGCGGGACUAAUACUCCUGUCUGAUGACGGUACCGUAAGAAGAAGCACCGGCUAACUACGUG